UUCCUCCGAGGCCCUGCAUGGGGCACAUCCUGCCUCCUGUGUCUAAGGAUCCAUGAGUGUAAAGACACCUUCCUUCGCGACAAUCAUUUCUGUCUGUGUCCUACUGAGUAAAAAACUCCCAGUCUGGCACCUCCAGAGAAACAGAACAUACAUAUACAUACGAAGAUAUUCGUUAGAAGAAAUCGGCGGCAGCACUUAGGGGGCUGAGAACUGCCACGGUCUCCCAUCUACAAGCGGGAGACCAGGAAAGCUCCUGCUGUCGUUUCAGUCUGAGCCUGAAGACAGGAGGCAAAAGGAGUGAAUUCCUCCCCUCCCCCACCCCUUGGUUCGGUCCAGACCCACGGCUGAUGGGGCGAGGCCCACCCACAUGGGGAAGAGCCAUCCACUUCUCUGAUCCGCCACUUCAGAUGCCAAUCUCAUCGGGAAGGAAACACCUGCACAGACACAGACGGACAUGAACCAUCAGAGUAUAUUUCACCAAGAUUAAAAAAAUG